CGAUGUUUUGUAGUGGCAACGUUCAGAUUCAUGCUUUGUUUUGAAAAGCAAAUUUUUGGUUGAUAUAUAUUUGACUAAUUAUGAAUGAAUAGUUAUGUGUCAAAUAGAUGCAGACUUAAUUUUAUCAUGGUGUGUAUAUAUGGCUUAUGGCUCUAGGUCGCCGUUAAUCAGAAAUAAGGUUCGGUGUUGCAAUUUCUUUAUGGUUAUUGCAGUUUUGGUUAUUUGAGAUAUAUAUUGUCUCUUUUUGGUUCUUCCUGUAUGUAUGUGCCUUUGCUACGAUCGUAAGUCCAUCACCGUCAUGCUUAAUUUGAGUUGUUUCAAAAUUCAGAAUUCAAAUUAAUUUGUUGUUGCCAUUAAAGGUCAUAUGUAUGUGUGAUUACUAUUAUCUGGUUUUGUCAAUUCAUCACGCAUUUAAACAGGACAAUUUUUUGUUUGGUG
rnacentral:lncRNA from 1 species